UUUGUUUCAGACAAAUAUUUCAAAAUAUUACUUUGUUUGUCCUAACACGAUUCCUUUGGAUCUAUCCCACUUCGCUAUGGACCUACCACAACAGCUCAAGGCCGUUACCCUCACACACGUCCGCUACCGUCGCGGCGAUCAGCUCGGGCACUUCCUCGCGUGGAUCUCCCUCGUCCCGGUCUUCAUCAGCCUCGGCGGAUUCGUCUCCCAUUUCCUCUUCCGCCGCGAGCUCCAAGGGAUCUUUUUCGGCCUCGGCCUCGUGAUCUCCCAGCUCAUCAACGAAUUCAUCAAAACCACCGUGGAGCAGGCUCGCCCCGAGACGUGCACCCUGCUCGAGGCCUGCGACUCGCACGGGUGGCCGUCGAGCCACUCGCAGUUCGUGUUCUUCUUCGCGACGUACUUUUCUUUGAUGGGGUGCAAAGGGAUCGGGUUCUGGUUCGGGUUGAGGAGCAGGUGGGUUCUGAAUCUGUUGCAUUGGUGUCUUGCUGUUGUGACUAUGUAUUCUAGGGUGUACUUGGGGUACCACACGGUGGCGCAGGUUUUCGCGGGGGCGGCGUUGGGGGCGGUUGUUGGGGGGAGUUGGUUCUGGGUGGUGAAUAGUGUGUUGUAUCGUUAUUUUGCGGUGAUUGAGGAGAGUAAGUUGGGGAGGAUGCUGUGUGUUAAGGAUACUUCUCAUAUUCCUGAUGUGUUGAAGUUUGAGUAUGACAAUGCUAGAGCUGCUAGGAACAACUCUAAGUCUGAUUGAUUUGGUCGGAAAAGCACUGUUAUAAGGCUCAAAUGAACAUGAAACUCACAAGAGCUUCUUCACACUUUUUAUUUUUUUACAUUCCUUUUUCAUAUUGACAUAUCUAUAUUGAAAGAUACAAUGCUUCAUAGAUUAAAUAGAAAAAUUAUUGGUCUGUGGUUUUAAGGAUUCACAAGCACGUCUUCAAUAGUCAAGAGAGAAAUCAUGGAAAGAGUUAAUAAGACUUAUGAUGCAUUACUUGAGUUCACAUUAGAAAAGGAAAAUUUUCUAGGUUGGUGUCUUUCCA